UACAGAGGUCCCAAGCGUUGUUCGGAUUCACUGGGCGUAAAGGGUGCGUAGGCGGUCGGGUAAGUCUGAUGUGAAAUCUCACAGCUUAACUGUGAAACUGCAUUGGAUACUAUUCGGCUUGAGAGUUGGAGGGGGGACUGGAACUCUUGGUGUAGCAGUGAAAUGCGUAGAUAUCAAGAGGAACACCAGUGGCGAAGGCGAGUCCCUGGACAACUUCUGACGCUGAGGCACGAAAGCUAGGGGAGCAAACAGG
rnacentral:rRNA from 1 species